rnacentral:rRNA from 1 species
CUACGCACUCCUACGGGAGGCAGCAGUGGGGAAUAUUGCACAAUGGGCGCAAAGCCUGAUGCAGCCAUGCCGCGUGUAUGAAGAAGGCCUUCGGGUUGUUAAAGGUACUUUCAGCAGUGAGGAAGGUGGGUAUGUUAAUAGCAUAUUCAUUUGACGUUAGCUGCAGAAGAAGCACCGGCUAACUCCGUGCCAGCAGCCGCGGUAAUACGGAGGGUGCGAGCGUUAAUCGGAAUUACUGGGCGUAAAGCGCAUGCAGGUGGUUUGUUAAGUCAGAUGUGAAAGCCCGGGGCUCAACCUCGGAAUUGCAUUUGAAACUGGCAAACUAGAGUACUGUAGAGGGGGUAGAAUUUCAGGUGUAGCGGUGAAAUGCGUAGAGAUCUGAAGGAAUACCGGUGGCGAAGGCGGCCCCCCUGGACAGAUACUGACACUCAGAUGCGAAAGCGUGGGGAGCAAACAGGAUUAGAUACCCUGGUAG